AGGCCAGGGGGUGAUGCAGCUAGUCGAGUACACACAUUGCCAUGUGCAAGGCCCCCAUUCCCCACCUGCAGGGGGACAAUUCCAUAGCAGUGAAGCAGCCCUGCGGGCAUCUCUCUCUCUCUUCCUCUCUACCCUUCCUUUCCCCCUCAGUUUCUCUCUGUCCUAUCAUAUAAAAGAAAAAAAAAAUAAUAAUAAAGGUUUCGUGUUGUGCUGACUUUGAGGUCAUUGCUAUCAUCUCCCUCUGGAACCAUCUCUGAACCCCUGCCCACCCCGAAACGACCCGGGAAGCCAACAAGGUCUAUAUUCAAGAAACUGUUACGUGCCCCUUCAUAGACAGACUUCACUGCUCUGACAAGGACUCAUUAUCACUAACUUUAAGCAGCCUCUGGAGCUACUGAAAUGUGUCAAAGUGAAGUUCUACACCUCAGGGC